rnacentral:tRNA from 1 species
GGCCUGCUAGCUCUGUUGGUUAGAGCGUCGUGCUAAUAACGCGAAUGUCGUGGGUUCGACCCCCACAUGGACCA